UGUACCCACAAACAUGAAAAAUUUAAAAAAAUUUAAAGAAAAUUUAGAAGUGAAGAAGAAACCCAAAGUAAAGAAGAUGGAUGAAAUAAUAGAACUCUAAAUCAUUUUCCACUUCCACAUUCUAUAUAAGUGCUUAAAGUUGCUGAUGGAGCUGAAAACCAAGGCUCGAGAACUACGUGAAGAAUGCAGAAGCCUCAGGAGCCGAUGUGAUCAACUGGAAGAAAGGGUAUCAGCGAUGGAAGAUGAAAUGAAUGAAAUGAAGCGAGAAGGGAAGUCUAGAGAAAAAAGAAUAAAAAGAAAU
rnacentral:lncRNA from 1 species